UACGGAGGGGGCUAGCGUUGUUCGGAAUUACUGGGCGUAAAGCGCACGUAGGCGGCUUUGUAAGUCAGAGGUGAAAGCCUGGAGCUCAACUCCAGAACUGCCUUUGAGACUGCAUCGCUUGAAUCCAGGAGAGGUGAGUGGAAUUCCGAGUGUAGAGGUGAAAUUCGUAGAUAUUCGGAAGAACACCAGUGGCGAAGGCGGCUCACUGGACUGGUAUUGACGCUGAGGCGCGAAAGCCAGGGGAGCAAACGGG
rnacentral:rRNA from 1 species